CCUACGGGAGGCUGCAGUGAGGAAUAUUGGUCAAUGGUCGAGAGUCUGAACCAGCCAAGCCGCGUGAAGGAUGAAUGUCCCAUGGGUCGUAAACCUCUUUUAUAUGGGAACAAAACCGGGUAUGCAUACCCUCUUGUAUGUACCUUAUGAAUAAGCAUCGGCUAACUCCGUGCCAGCAGCCGCGGUAAUACGGAGGAUCCGAGCGUUAUCCGGAUUUAUUGGGUUUAAAGGGUGCGUAGAUGGGUUGUUAAGUCAGCUGUUAAAGCGUGCGGCUCAACCGUGAGAUUGCAGUUGAUACUGGCAGUCUUGAGUAGGAGUGAAGUAGGCGGAAUUCGUGGUGUAGCGGUGAAAUGCUUAGAUAUCGCGAAGAACUCCGAUUGCGAAGGCAGCAUGCCGACUUGACACUGACAUUGAUGCACGAAAGUGUGGGUAUCGAACAGGAUUAGAUACCCCAGUAGUC
rnacentral:rRNA from 1 species